rnacentral:rRNA from 1 species
UAUGCACGCUGGCGGCGUGCCUAAUACAUGCAAGUCGAGCGAACGGACGAGAAGCUUGCUUCUCUGAUGUUAGCGGCGGACGGGUGAGUAACACGUGGAUAACCUACCUAUAAGACUGGGAUAACUUCGGGAAACCGGAGCUAAUACCGGAUAAUAUUUUGAACCGCAUGGUUCAAAAGUGAAAGACGGUCUUGCUGUCACUUAUAGAUGGAUCCGCGCCGCAUUAGCUAGUUGGUAAGGUAACGGCUUACCAAGGCAACGAUGCAUAGCCGACCUGAGAGGGUGAUCGGCCACACUGUAACUGAGACACGGUCCAGACUCCUACGGGAGGCAGCAGUAGGGAAUCUUCCGCAAUGGGCGAAAGCCUGACGGAGCAACGCCGCGUGAGUGAUGAAGGUCUUCGGAUCGUAAAACUCUGUUAUUAGGGAAGAACAUAUGUGUAAGUAACUGUGCACAUCUUGACGGUACCUAAUCAGAAAGCCACGGCUAACUACGUG